UUAUUUGAACUGAUUUGGUUCACUCUUCUAUGUUUUUCGUUCCAAAAUUACGCACCAAAUUUAUGGAUAUUGGAUAAUCGUAUCAGGCAAAUUUCGUACCAAACCAGAUUUUCCCAAUCCCGCUUGAACGAGACGGAUUUACCAAAUUCGAUUGAUUUUGCAAGGAGUCCCCAAGAAUAACCCUGUAAAAAGAACGCAUCUCGGCUCUGAAAGAAAAAAAACCACUACGCUCCUCCUCCUCCUCGAUGGAUCAAAUUUGUCAAUCACCUUCCAUCUAGCUUGCCAACUGACUUCUUCCAGCAGGCUCAUUGAUGUCGAUCUUCUCUCCCCCGAGAUUGUUGUCGAUCGUUGUCCCUUCAGGUAAUCGUUAGUCGUGACUCACCCCUAAACCAAGCUCGAUCAUCAUCUUCUAUUUCAGGUAAUCAUCCUUUUUACUUCCUUCUUUGUUUCUUCUUCUAGGUUCGUAUAUAUUGACGAUUAGAGUAGGUUUCUAGGUUUUGCAAUUUCAUCAAAUUUUUAUGGUUUUGGGUUUUGAUUUAGGGUUUUCUGAUUUGGGUUCUAGUUAGGAUUUUUUAUUUGAGUUCUGAUAUAGGUUUUUCGAUUUAGGGUUUUGAUUUUAUGGUUUGUUUUGAUUAAACAACACCAAUGUUUCUUCUUUGUGACUUUGAUGUCAGUAUAAUCAAAUUUCUCAUUUCUGUCAACAUUGUAAUGUGCUUUUUUCAUGUUGGCUGACUUGUUUUGCUGAUAUCAUUUUGGUGUUGGCUGUUUUGCUUUAUGAUGAUGCAGAUAGGCUACAGAUUCUGCUAACACAAUGAAAAAUUCUUAUCAACACUUCUUGAUCAGUUAUCCCAAACUUACUUCUAGGAAAGAAGAGAAAAUAAUGACAAGAAGAGUAAACAUUGAAUCACAAACAGACGUUGUCGAUUGAUGGUCAUCGAAGAAGAUUAUCGUCGAUUGAUAGAACGAGAUCGACAGACUCAACUCAAGGGAAGGGUCUGCAGUUUUUGUUAAACUGAAAGGGAAGGGUCUGCAUUUUCAAUUACCAAUGGUGUUUGCGUUUUUUAUAAGAUAGAGGAUGAGGCUAGGGGUUUUAAGGAUAGUUUGGUCAUUUUUAUAACUUAAAUCAAUUUCAAUAACACAAAAUUUAAUGAAAAACAUGAAAUUUAAUUACAUAAAAAUUGGGGAUUCCCCUCAAUUUUAAUUUCGACGAAUUGGGAAUUUCCCCUAUUUAUAAAAUCUUAGUGGAAAACUAUUCCUAAAUUUAGUGCAAAAUUUUAAAUAAUUAAAAAUUGAAAUAACAUAAAAUAAUUCAAAUUAAUUUAUAUCAACAUCUAGUCAAAUCGUUAGUGUUUGUGUUCACCUCACAAAUUAUUCUACUAAUCAUUGUAACAAUAUAAAUAUUCAUUUUGAUGGAAUACUUUUUGUAAUUUCUAUUUGGUGAACUUAUAACCUAACCCAUAACCAAAUAACUUCAUCAAAAACUAUCUCAACCCCGAGUUUAUUAAAACUCAUUCCACUUCUCGAAUUGAAAGCUAACGAAAUAUGAGAUGUUUAAUGUGUUCUAAUUAGGAUACAUGUGCUAUAAAUAAUAAAAGGAGUUCAUUGACAGGCUGGUAAGAGUGUUGUAUUAUAACAAAGUAGGUUGUGAUUUAAUUCUUUAUAAUGUCUGCAUCUUGGAAUUUUUUUGAAUUCUAGGGGUGUUAGCUGAUGACACCCCUCAUCUUUAGCUAGCUCCGCCACUGAUCAUGAACCCAGUAAAAUGAAUUAGCUAACCUGAUACGUUUGUUGCCACUUUCAGGUAAAUUCCAGACCUCCCUAUAAGUUCUUCAACAUGGAAUAUACAUUCGGUGAUGACCUUCGGGUAGUUGAUGCAGGGGACUGGGGAGUCAAUUUUCUUGAACCAUGGUCUUGUGUUAGUUCCCCGUACUGAGAUUCAACCUCUAAACUGAGAAUACAAUCAUUAAUGUUUUAUCCUUAAUGUUACAGACGUCUAUUUUUGGUGGUUCUCUAAGUUGAAGCCUUGAAGGAAUCAUUAGUUUGUUUCACCCGAAUGGGAAUAUCUUAUUUCAUUGACUGACUUUCCAGCCUAAAUAAACAGAUAACCAGAUGUUAGAAAAGCAUAUUCUACCCUUUGGUGAAGGAGCGAGUUCUCAAAUUGUGGAUCAGCCAGAGAUCGGCAAAAAUUAUCUUGAAGACUAAGAUCGUUUGCACUCUGGGCCGGCCUCCAGAUUCAUUCCCGUGGUAGAGAAUCUCCUCCGCGCUAGUGUUGAAAAGUUCUUGAGAUAUUAAAAAGGGUUCUGGGUUACUCCUAAAUCCAUCCAUCAUCCACAACCAUAAAGACUAGACAAAAUCUGUAAAAUAUCAUAAACUAUUUCAAAAAUAUUGUUUUAGCAUAGUCCUUUUCGAUAUAAAUUGUGUUUCAUUAAUUAUCC
rnacentral:lncRNA from 1 species